rnacentral:lncRNA from 1 species
UCAUACUAAAAAUUGAGCAUGAAGCCUGGUAGCUAUUUGAAAUCUUAAGUGAAAACUUAUUGCACCACAUGUCUACUACCAAGAGAGGCCCCCGUAUGUCUGGACCUAAAUGGGAUGGGAUUUAUGAAAUUGAUAGUUCAAUGGACAUCCACAGUCAAAUGGAUAAAUUAUCUCAAAUGAUGAUCCGAAUACUACAAGUAAUGCCCACCAGCACCCCACCC